GAACGCUAGCUACAGGCUUAACACAUGCAAGUCGAGGGGCAGCAUGGUCUUAGCUUGCUAAGGCCGAUGGCGACCGGCGCACGGGUGAGUAACACGUAUCCAACCUGCCGUCUACUCUUGGACAGCCUUCUGAAAGGAAGAUUAAUACAAGAUGGCAUCAUGAGUCCGCAUGUUCACAUGAUUAAAGGUAUUCCGGUAGACGAUGGGGAUGCGUUCCAUUAGAUAGUAGGCGGGGUAACGGCCCACCUAGCCUUCGAUGGAUAGGGGUUCUGAGAGGAAGGUCCCCCACAUUGGAACUGAGACACGGUCCAAACUCCUACGGGAGGCAGCAGUGAGGAAUAUUGGUCAAUGGGCGAGAGCCUGAACCAGCCAAGUAGCGUGAAGGAUGACUGCCCUAUGGGUUGUAAACUUCUUUUAUAAAGGAAUAAAGUCGGGUAUGGAUACCCGUUUGCAUGUACUUUAUGAAUAAGGAUCGGCUAACUCCGUGCCAGCAGCCGCGGUAAUACGGAGGAUCCGAGCGUUAUCCGGAUUUAUUGGGUUUAAAGGGAGCGUAGAUGGAUGUUUAAGUCAGUUGUGAAAGUUUGCGGCUCAACCGUAAAAUUGCAGUUGAUACUGGAUAUCUUGAGUGCAGUUGAGGCAGGCGGAAUUCGUGGUGUAGCGGUGAAAUGCUUAGAUAUCACGAAGAACUCCGAUUGCGAAGGCAGCCUGCUAAGCUGCAACUGACAUUGAGGCUCGAAAGUGUGGGUAUCAAACAGGAUUAGAUACCCUGGUAGUCCACACGGUAAACGAUGAAUACUCGCUGUUUGCGAUAUACGGCAAGCGGCCAAGCGAAAGCGUUAAGUAUUCCACCUGGGGAGUACGCCGGCAACGGUGAAACUCAAAGGAAUUGACGGGGGCCCGCACAAGCGGAGGAACAUGUGGUUUAAUUCGAUGAUACGCGAGGAACCUUACCCGGGCUUAAAUUGCAGAUGAAUUACGGUGAAAGCCGUAAGCCGCAAGGCAUCUGUGAAGGUGCUGCAUGGUUGUCGUCAGCUCGUGCCGUGAGGUGUCGGCUUAAGUGCCAUAACGAGCGCAACCCUUGUUGUCAGUUACUAACAGGUUCCGCUGAGGACUCUGACAAGACUGCCAUCGUAAGAUGUGAGGAAGGUGGGGAUGACGUCAAAUCAGCACGGCCCUUACGUCCGGGGCUACACACGUGUUACAAUGGGGGGUACAGAGGGCCGCUACCACGCGAGUGGAUGCCAAUCCCCAAAACCUCUCUCAGUUCGGACUGGAGUCUGCAACCCGACUCCACGAAGCUGGAUUCGCUAGUAAUCGCGCAUCAGCCACGGCGCGGUGAAUACGUUCCCGGGCCUUGUACACACCGCCCGUCAAGCCAUGGGAGCCGGGGGUACCUGAAGUGCGUAACCGCGAGGAGCGCCCUAGGGUAAAACUGGUGACUGG
rnacentral:rRNA from 1 species